GCUCAGAGUGCUUCCUGUUUUCCCGCUGUAUUAAAGCUGUGUCAUCUACAGGUGCUUUGUUUAUUGUGGGAAGAUAAGGAAUAAGUAAUUUCCUAGGAGAUUAUCCAUUAACAUGGGGCUAUGUGCCAUAUGUCAGUUAUGCACAGGAACAAAAAUACACACUAUGGCUACACUGUCUGCCAUAUGUAUUCCAAAUAAACACUAUCAAUAUGAUGUCUAUUCACUACACAGUUCAUG